AUGCUCUCUGGGGGCAAGAGAAAGACACAGCUGCCUCCUGGGCCAUGGACUCUUCCCUUCAUCGGAAGCCUCCACCACGUCGCCAGCGUGCUCCCGCACCGCAAGAUGAUGGAGAUGUCUCGCCGGCAUGGGCCGCUGAUGCACCUUAUGCUCGGCGAGGUCCCAACGGUGAUCGUCUCCAGCGCCGAGGCGGCGGCGCUGGUGAUGAAGACCAAUGACCUUGCCUUUGUUGGCCGGCCUCGCAGCGCGACGCUGGACAUCUUCGGCUGCGGCGGGAGGGGCAUCGUCUUCGCCCCCUACGGUGACCCAUGGCGCCAGAUGCGCAAGGUCUGCACCAUGGAGCUCCUCAGCUCCAAGCAGGUGAGGCGUAUGGACGGUAUCAGGCCAGACCAGGUGGGCAGCCUUCUCCAUUAUGUCGCAGACGCGGCAUCCAUGGGUGCCGUCGUCAACGUCAGCGAGAAGGUGAUGGCGCUCAGCAACGACGUGGUGUCGCGGGCGGUGUUUGGCGGCAAGUUCCCGCAGCAGGAGGAGUACCUCUGGGAGCUGGAUGAGGCGUUCGUGCUGCUAGGUGGUUUCUGCCUCGUCGACCUCUUCCCGUCAUCGCGGCUGGUGCGGUGGCUGUGCAAGGGAGAGCGCCACAUGAGGAGGAGCUAUGGCCACAUCCAACGUAUCAACGCCGACGUCAUCGAGGGGCAUAAGGCAACGCGAGCUGCCACACAGGACGGUGCCUCCAGCACCGACGAUGAUGACUUGCUGGACGUGCUACUCAGGCUCCAGGAGAAGGACGCGUUCACAUUCCCUAUGACCACGGAGAGUAUAGGUGCCGUCUUAUUUGUGAGUAAUUUUCUUUAUGCUUCUUAUUAA
rnacentral:rRNA from 1 species